rnacentral:tRNA from 2 species
GCGCCCUUAGUUCAGUCCGGUAGAACGCGGGUCUCCAAAACCCGAUGUCGUAGGUUCAAAUCCUACAGGGCGUG